rnacentral:rRNA from 1 species
ACGUUGAGGUAGUGACAAAAAAUAACGACGGCGUAUAACGGAGCAAUCCGUUAGCCGAUUGUAAUGAGUGCAAUGUAAACAAAUCAAUUAGUAUCAACUGGAGGGCAAGUCUGGUGCCAGCAGCCGCGGUAAUUCCAGCUCCAGUAGCGUAUGUUUAAGUUGCUGUAGUUAAAAAGCUCGUAGUUGGAGUGUGAUUUGAGGCUCGGUUGGGGUGAAAUAAAUUUGCCUAGACAGGGUCUCGAGUCCAUGCUGAAUAAGAUACACUUCCUUUAAUUGAAAGGUUAUAGGUUGACUGGUUCUCAUUCAAUUUACCAUAAGUAAAAUAGAGUGUUUAAAGCAGAACGUAUGUUCAUUGAAUAAUAGAGUAUGGGAUAAUAGAAGAUGAAAGAGGUAGGAUGUGGCCGUCACGGGUAGCAAUAUCCGGGGCUCCUGCUUCUUU